GAAGACAGCUCUUCUAGGAAGUACACUCUACAACAUGGGUGGAUCUUCCAUCCAGAAGGGACACCAGACAGGACGUUCCCAGCAGGUGACAGCUUGCUUUCUGCCCUGUCAGCCAGGUGGCACUUCACCUCUGAGCUUCCGGGAGCUUGUCCUUUGAUAGACUGGUUUCGUUAGCCGUGAGCAGAAACGCACUUGUCCAAACAUCUGCAAACGAAUAUGAAGGUUAACUAGGAGCACUUUAGAGUGAGUCUGGGACCCCUGGCUGCCGUCAGUUGCUUUCACAGAAGAAUUUCUUUGUCACAUUUGCCACAGGCUAUUUUAUUUCACGGGCUCUAAGCAAUAUCGAAGCACAAAGCAGGAAUCGGGGAAAAGGCUAAGUAGCAGAACUAACAAGGAACCAGAAGAGAGCAUUAGAACCCCUGGGCUGGAGGUACAAGCCCCUCUGGGUCACCCAAUGUGGACGCUGGUCCUCUGAUAGAGCAGCAAGCACUGUUAAGGGACGAACCACCUCUCAUCCCAAAACUUUUCUUCUUAAAAAGCCAGUCUCUGGUCCUUUGAUGAUGACUUUGAGACAGUCUGGACACCUGGAGAGCUGCAUCUGAAGCUUAGAGCCUCUCCCAGCAAGCCACACCAAAGGCCUUUUCCUACCGAGGGGUCGCCCUGACUCCCAAAUCAAUAAUUUAAAGGCCUCUAGCCUCCUGUCUAUUCCAAUUCUUUGGCUCUCAAGGAGUCGCCAGUAAUCCUUUCUCUUUGCCUGUGGUUGACAAAGAGGAAGACAUAUUUGGAAGAAUAAACACUCACUGAUUUAUUUACAUUAAAUAAUACUUUGCUCUCUCUCUCUCUCACUGGCCUUUCGAAAGCAGUCAUGUGACCAUGACUCAGCAGGGUUUGUGUGAUAUCAAGCUUGUAGGUGGGGCAGUGUCAAGGAGAGGCCAAAGCUUUGCUUUUGAGACUUGCCACUAAUUCAGCACCCGGUGUUUGGAAGAAAGGAUACGGAGGAUGCUCCUUGAACAGUUUGUAACUCUGGGCUUUCUCUUAUAAUGUUCAGUUCAUUGUAAAUGACCCUUCCAUGUGCCUAAGCAUUCUGUCUUCUCUCUGUUCAGACUGCAAACGCCUAAGGCCAGGUAGAGUGGCCCAGGCCUGUAUGCCAGCACUCCGGAAGCAGAGUUAGAAGGGUCCUCCAAGUUCUAAGCCUUCCUGGUCUUGUGUUUCAGCCUAGCCAGGGUUACGUGUGAGACUCUGUCACAAAUACACAACACCAAAACACCAAAGGCUGUAUGUAUAAGUGUGAGACCAGUGUCCCCAUGCAUCCAUCCAUCCAUGCAUCCAUGCAUCCAUCCAUGCAUCCAGGCAUCCAUCCAUCCAUCCAUCCAUCCAUCUAUCCAUCCACUUAUGCAUGUGUGGUGCGCCGCUGUGCUGGAAGGUAUUCAACAUGAAUAAAGUGCAUUCCUUGCUUCCGAGAUGUUCACGGUCUUCUAGUCUGUUGAUCUUACUACAAUUUGUGUCUCCCCAGGUGCUGAACACAGAAGAGAUUCAUGAAAGCUGGCAGCUUGAGACAGUGCUGACUGUGAACCUAGGAGGGCACCAUGGUGCUGUGAAGGAAUGUUUCUGGACCUGGGACCUCUCCUAAGGCUGACAUGAAGGACAACGGUUGUUCAGGUCUAACAAAGGUCGGGGCUACCUUCUCCUGAGGAAACGGGCUGACUUUUCACACAGACAAAUGACCACUCAUCAAGAAGGGGUAUGGGAAGAGACAAGAGGCUGGGAGAGGUAAUGUCUCCUGAGUGCUGCCGAGGGCACAGAACUCCACACACUCUCUCUCACAUCGUGAACGAUUGCUCAAAGGUGCUGGGGGUAGCAGAUACUAUUGCUUAGCCCAAGGAACGUGUUGCGAAGCAGCCGUGUAUAAGGCUAUGACCAGGAACACGACAUGGAAGCUAAGCGCUGUUUGAAUGGCCCGAGACUGAGAAAUGGAGAUCACACGCAUUCUCUGGGAGACAGAGAGGUUAAAUGAGUUGCCCUCGGUCAGAAAAGAUCAGAGACCAGAACAUGGCCACCUGGCUUUGCCCCCACAUCCUCCUCACCCAACCACUAUUUCCUACUUUGCAAGUGAGGAAAUACCAGCUCGGCUAACAAGCCAUCGGUUUUGACUAGAGACUCCGGUGAGAAUCUGCCUGCAAAGUAGAGAGCGUCAACUUGGUUCAGUGCAAAACCAAAGUAAGCCUGGAGGAGAGGAGAGUGCCAAGUUUCCGGUCCGCAGGGACCUUGCACAGACCACUCAACCGUGCGCUGCUGUAGGGAGGGUUCAGGGCCUCGAGGGAAUCCCUUCACCUUUGUCCUCCACUGUAGCAGGCCUAGUUCGGGCUUCCGGCCUCUGCCUCCUGAGAUGAACAGACCUCGGCCUCCCUCCCUCCCUGUAAGGUGCCUGGUGGGGUGGAGGGAGGGCCAUCUGGGUCCUGUCACCAGCCUCCACUGCAUUGGUGCUGGAGGAGGAUCAUCAGCCCAUGGGUGCUUUUCUUCAUCUCCCCAGCGGGUGCUGACAGCUGAGCCAUUCCACACACCUUUGGGGCAAAGAACUGCCGGAAGCCGGGUCCAAGUUCAAAGACUGGACAUUCUUUCCGAGGCUGCCAGGAGCACCCUGGAGGGCCGGCUCCCACGUUGCAUAAGCCGCAGGUUAGCAGGUCCGCGGCCGCUGAUGCGCUCAGCCUUGGCCUCUCCGGACUUGAGCAACUAUUACGUAGAAGCACUUGUUCAGUGUGGCGACAGGUUCUUCUGCAUUGCUACCAAACGCGUGGUGCAUCUGCCCGGACUCACUCAGACAACACUAAAGCUCUUCGCCACCAGGUGGUUAAAGCUGCCUGGUGGGGCUGGCAGGAGGCACAGCCAUGACUUACUGUAGCUCUUGGCCCAGGCCACCGAACACUCAGUACCUUGUACCCCGUUAGCCUUGGGCAGUAAAGCCUGUGAUAAAAUGUUCUUUUUUCGUGUUUGUUUUUCCUGGCAGUCUCAUUUUGGGAUAUAAAUGGCUCAUUAUUUCCAUCC